UCUCAUCCUGUGCCCCGAAGUGCUUGCAACCCUGUUCCAGUUCGGUGCCGUCCGUAAAUUUUAUAAGCAUACUCUUCACUCCAUUAUCCAAGUCAUUGAUGAAAAUACUGAAUAGUACCAGACCCAGGACUGACCCCCAUGAGACUUCAUUAGAUACCCCUUCCCAGUUUGAGAGCGAACCAUGGAUAACUACUCGUAAACAAGUGAUGAUUCAGCAGAAAGGCUUGAGGGCAAAGGCACCUGGAGCCAAGCCGGGGAACAGUAGCCGCAUUCUGUUCGGGGCGUCAGUGGGACAGGGAGCCUGAACUGCAGGGAUGAGAAGGGCCAGGACUGCAUCGAGCAAGACGUCCAAACACAAGGUGCUUCUGUCUCACGUUGGCGAGAAUGCCAGGCCGCUCGCAGGCAAAAAUAAAAUCGAUGGAGUUUCCAGCUAGGAGGAGAAGCGCCUGAAAGCACACGAGCACCUGUCCUUGAGAGAUCCCCAGCCUGAAUGUACACACCGACGGAGAGGAGCGGGAUCCAAACUUUCAGCUGAUUCUCCAAAGCAGGAAACCUUUAGACGCUCUCCCAUUGUCACAAUGAAGGCCUGAUCCUGCCCCCCCCCCUGAGGAGCUUGGGGGAAGCAGGAGCAGGCCCCAAAGAUCACAUGGCCCCAAAGAUAAUGGCCUAGGGGAAAAAACGUUUGCAGGGGAAGAAAAAGGAACCAUUUUUGAGGCUGUUUAGGGUUCCAGGUUCCAGAAGGACUGGUUCCACACAUUUCUUCUUGACGUCAUUGGGAGGAGGCACUUGGCUCCUCUGACAGGCCCCACUGCUGUUUCGAUGAUUAUUACCUGUUAUCAUAUCAUCAUACCUAUUAUCAUAGUAUCUCUGGGCCCCAGUCCCGGAGAAGGAUGCCCCUAUGCAAAGGGCUGUAUCAACACAGAACAAAAACAGGGUCCCUGCCCUAAGGCACUUACUGUCUAAGCGGCCACUCAAAAUCAGUGGCUGCUUUUGAAAACAGCCUCAUUAGCUUGGCUUAAUCACUCCGCAAGUUCCUUCCUUAAUGUUUAAACCAGCAUUGUUCUGUACAAGAUGUAAUCGAGGUGCCCUAAUUGCAUAAACUGCGUAUUUUGGGUGUGUUUUUUUCUUA